rnacentral:rRNA from 1 species
UACGUAGGGGGGCAAGCGUUGUCCGGAAUUACUGGGCGUAAAGGGCGCGUAGGCGGCAUUGCAAGUGGAAGGUGAAAUCCCUCGGCUUACCGAGGAACUGCCCUCCAACUGCGUUGCUUGAGGCCCGGAGAGGUAAGCGGAAUUCCUGGUGUAGCGGUGAAAUGCGUAGAUAUCAGGAGGAACACCUGCGGUGUAGACGGCUUACUGGACGGUAACUGACGCUGAGGCACGAAAGCGUGGGUAGCAAACAGG